AUUGAACGCUGGCGGCAUGCCUAACACAUGCAAGUCGAACGGUAACAUGAAGACUCUUGCUUCUUUGCUGCCGAGUGGCGGACGAGUGAGUAAUGUCUUGGAAACUGCCUGAUGGAGGGGGAUAACUACUGGAAACGGUAGCUAAUACCGCAUAACGUCGCCAGACCAAAUAGGGGGACCUUCGGGCCUCUUGCCAUCUGAUGUGCCUAGAUGUGAUUAGCUAGUAGGUGGGGUAACGGCUCACCUAGGCGACGAUCCCUAGCUGCUAUGAGAGGGUGACCAGCCAGACUGGAACAGAGGAAGGGUCGAGACACCGAGAGGGGGCAGCAGUGGGGAAUAUUGCACAAGGGGCGAAAGGGUGAUGCAGCAAAACGGCGUGUAUGAAGAAGGAGUUAGGGUUGGAAAGUAAUGAAGGCGGGGGGGAAGGGAGUAAAGUUAAUAACGGAGCUAAUUGACGGUACCCGCAGAAGAAGCACCGGCUAACUCCGUG
rnacentral:rRNA from 1 species